CAACUUUUAAAUAGCAUAGUUGCCACCAGGAGAUAUAAAUGUAUAUAUAUGUAUAUUUAAUUUUUCAGUGACAUAAACAUACACUUUCAGGAAGGAAAUCUGCUUGAGAAAUUGUGGCAGAAGAAUCCUCAAUGUUAGAAGUUGUCGAUAGUCUCUUUUGUAAGCUCUGGAACACUUCUAGGCCAGUUUUGAUUAUGAGAGCCGGGAAGUGGGCUCUCCCCUGUGGAGCCGCUGGAGCUGUAACACUGCCCACUGCCCUUCUUCCCUGGGGAAUUGGUACAGUGUGAAGUGUGGCGGGGUGUGGGGGGCCACUGGGAGGGACCUUGUGCAGGUGAGGUGAGAGUUGCUCACACGUUAUGUGGUCGAAUUGGGUGGACUUUGGCAGUGGACCACACUUACAGUGAGACCCUGUAGUCAAUGUGCAGUUUCUCCCCUUUUGAGAAACUAGAGUCUGCCUGUGUUUUAUUGGGUCGACAUAGAAUGCCCUCAGUCUACCUCUGAAAUGUUCAGCUUCAACAUUUUAGUUUGACACAGAGAACACUUGCAUCCCUGGUCAGAAGUGAUGAAUUCCCAUCCUGACUGGGGGUGCUUUGAGAGCAGGAAGAGGAUGGGGCUUCCUGAUUGUGCUGCCUCUGCAGCCCUCCCGAUGCCCAUGUUGGGCAGAUACAUAGCCCUUCACCUCUGUACCUCAGUGGAUGCUCUGCUUCUCUCCUGGAGCCUCAGGGUUUGACGCAGUGUCUCAGUUUUGUCAUUCUCAUUAGGUGAGGUUUUAUUUGCCUUCACUUGGAGACCAGGGGUUUGCUCAAACUCUGGGCCUUCCUUCCACAGUCUUCUGAUCUUAUUUAAUAAUGGGACUUUUUACGUUCUCCUGUCAUCCUUGAAUUGAAGAUCUAAAUGCAUAUUGAAGUUAUAACAAAUCUGCCCUCACGUAUUAGAAGGGGGAAAUUGAGCAUUUCUGGUAAUGGAGAUAAGAGUGAGUCUCUGUGGUAAGCAUGAAUCCAGUGUGUAACUCCCACCCCUCUGAGGCUGGGCACAGGAAAGACCCAUGCCUUGUGGUCAGCCUGGCCCUCCUCUUUUGUCUCCCAGCUAAAAUUCCCUUUCAGAACCUCAGGCUCUUAACAGUUUCUUCCAAGCAGUUCUUUCUAGAGGCUCUCUGUUUAACUGUCCUCAUAAGGACUACUUUGUAGCUCAAUUAAAAUGUUGAGUACCUUUUCGAAGUUACUUGAGAAGGGGCUGGUUCAGUGCAAGGAUAAUUCCCACAAAAGCACUUACUUUUGCACAGUGAGUUUAAUCAGGGCAUACCCAUGAUUUGGAGUUUCUUCUCGCUGUGCUGAGCUUCAUGGAAGUUCCUGAUCACUGGAGGAAACCUCUGGGGUCUGGCUCUCAUCCUUUGUCUGUCAACAUCUAGCAGGUCCCUGAUGCCAGCUGACCAUGACAAUCACUCAAGCUCAGUCACAGACCUCUGCCUGGGGUUUGAUCCCCUGGCAAGUUUCUCAGCUGAAACUUGAGCCAAGCUGAUGUGAGGCUUCUCACGUCUUCCCACCUCUGAGGUUCAGUUCCCACGGCACCUGCCCUCCCAGCAUCCCUCACCAGCACUAAGCUCAGAGAAGGGGAGAAGAGAGCCGGGGAUCGGACUUGGCACCUCUGUGCUCCCCUUCCUGGUUCCAAAGUGCCAGUGUGCUCAGUCUCCUUGGGAAGGAGGGCAGGAGUGUCUAGGGAAGGGGCCUUCUCUUUGUCCUAAUUGCACUAUUCUUGUUCUAGCUUCAGUCUGAAGAUAUUUAAGACCUCCAUGGGGUCAUGAUCUGUAGACUUAGCAAGUCUGCCUUAUCUAUGGAGCUCGGGGUGAGAAAUAUGACCAUAUCUGAUGUCCAUAGUUCAUUUCCCCUAGGCUGUUUCUUUCGUCAGAUUUGUGUUCAUCUGAACCAUUUUAUUUUUUAUUUACCAAAGUACUGUACUUGGCUAUUUGCAGUGUUUUCAAAACCAAAUGUUUCUGUUUGUGUUUUUAAUCUUCAAUACUUGGUGCAAUAGAAGCUGCAAAGAUGUGCCACUUUAUCUAUGAAAUGGAGUUUUGUAUACUAAUAAAUUCUAGUUUGAAACCAAA
ensembl:lncRNA